UCCGCCAGUAUUGAGCAAAACGACAAUUCAAUCCAACCACCGCUAAUCUGUGAGAGAAAGGUAGGCGAGUGCGGAGCGAUCUCGUGCGUGUCUCGCUUCUUAUUGGCUCCCUUCUGACUCGCCAUCAGAUAAGCCUUUGAAGUUGUAGAACUACCUGUUGUUCGACCUCAACACGCUCGCUGUACAGAACCGAAGUGCAUUCAUGGCUUCGACGGUAUUUCACUCGCCGUGUGCUUGUAGUGCACCUUCAAUCAAGUCUUUGGAUGGCCAAAACUACGUCGGCCUUAAGCCGUCGGCUAAUUUAAGGUUCAAAUUCAGUUGUGUUAAAACAACUGUCAAGGCGCGUGAAAGUCAACGUCUAUUUAUCGUAAGAGCAGGCGAAACGCACGAUGGACAGAUUAAGAAACUUGGACUGAGUGAUGCGGAAUGCGAGGCUGCCGUCGUGGCGGGGAAUGCUCCAGAAGCGCCUCCCGUGCCACCUAAGCCCGCCGCGCCAGCUGGCACCCCGGUGGUUCCUUCGCUUCCACUUAAUCGGCGCCCUCGUCGUAACCGAAAGUCCCCUGCAUUGCGAGCAUCGUUUCAGGAAACAGAUCUCUCUCCUGCGAAUUUUGUUUAUCCAUUAUUUAUUCAUGAAGGUGAGGAAGACACACCUAUUGGAGCUAUGCCUGGAUGCUAUAGACUUGGAUGGCGACAUGGGCUUGUGGAGGAGGUAGCAAAAGCUCGGGACGUUGGUGUCAAUAGCAUUGUGCUCUUCCCCAAAGUUCCUGAUGCUUUGAAGACUCCCACAGGAGAUGAAGCAUACAAUGACAAUGGUUUAGUUCCUCGCACAAUAAGGCUUCUCAAGGACAAAUACCCUGAUCUUGUUAUUUACACUGAUGUUGCUUUAGAUCCAUAUUCCUCUGAUGGACAUGAUGGUAUUGUCCGAGAAGAUGGUGUUAUAAUGAAUGAUGAAACAGUGCAUCAAUUAUGUAAACAAGCUGUUUCCCAGGCUCGUGCUGGAGCUGAUGUUGUGAGUCCUAGUGACAUGAUGGAUGGUCGUGUAGGAGCAAUUCGGGCAGCUCUUGAUGCUGAAGGCUUUCAUCAUGUUUCCAUUAUGUCGUAUACAGCAAAGUAUGCAAGUUCCUUCUACGGUCCAUUUAGGGAGGCAUUAGACUCGAAUCCACGUUUUGGAGACAAGAAAACUUAUCAGAUGAAUCCAGCAAACUACAGAGAGGCUCUAGUAGAAGCCCGUGAAGAUGAAUCUGAAGGAGCUGACAUCCUUUUGGUGAAACCUGGUCUUCCUUAUUUGGAUAUCAUAAGGCUUCUCAGGGAUAAAUCUCCUCUGCCGAUUGCUGCAUAUCAGGUUUCUGGUGAAUACUCAAUGAUCAAGGCUGGUGGGGUUCUCAAGAUGAUCGAUGAAGAGAGGGUUAUGAUGGAAUCAUUGAUGUGCCUCCGAAGGGCUGGUGCUGACAUCAUCCUCACAUAUUUUGCUUUACAAGCUGCUAAAAGUUUAUGUGGUGAGAAGAGGUGAGAAUGGUCUGAUCAACAAGGACCGGCUGUUAGUCAUUAAAUAGUACUAGCGGCAUCUUUUUUGGUAAUUGACACUAGAAAAAGUUGGGAGUUUUGACUGAAAUAAAUUAAUAAGUCGGUUUGCGAUAUGCUGUGUCAUAAAGUUGAAGUAGAGAAUGUUAUUACAUUUUGUGUGUUUGCAGUAUUAGUUUAUGACUGAACUUCCAAAAUGAAAUAAACAUGCUAGUAAGUUUAUUCUGUUUAUUCUGCACACAACUGAAUGCAAGGUGGGAUGAAAUAUAUAUUUAGUUGUAUUAA